rnacentral:rRNA from 1 species
CGGGUGAGUAACGCGUGGGAAUCUACCUAUUAGUGGGGGACAACAGUCGGAAACGACUGCUAAUACCGCAUACGCCCUAAGGGGGAAAGCAGGGGAUCUUCGGACCUUGUGCUAAUAGAUGAGCCCGCGUCAGAUUAGCUAGAUGGUGAGGUAAAGGCUCACCAUGGCGACGAUCUGUAGCUGGUCUGAGAGGAUGAUCAGCCACACUGGAACUGAGACACGGUCCAGACUCC